GACGAACGCUGUCGGCGCGCCUAACACAUGCAAGUCGAACGGAGUUGCUGAAGCUGAAUUUUUCGGAAGGACGCAUUAGUAACUUAGUGGCGGACGGGUGAGUAACGCGUGAGUAACCUGCCUUUCAGAGGGGGAUAACGUUUGGAAACGAACGCCAAUACCGCAUAACAUAACGAGGUCGCAUGGCUUUGUUAUCAAAGGAGCAAUCCGCUGGAAGAUGGACUCGCGUCCAAUUAGCUAGUUGGUGAGGUAAAGGCCCACCAAGGCGACGAUUGGUAGCCGGACUGAGAGGUUGAACGGCCACAUUGGGACUGGGACACGGCCCAGACUCCUACGGGAGGCAGCAGUGGGGAAUAUUGCACAAUGGGGGAAACCCUGAUGCAGCGACGCCGCGUGAAGGAAGAAGUAUUUCGGUAUGUAAACUUCUAUCAGCAGGGAAGAAAAUGACGGUACCUGACAAGAAGCCCCGGCUAAUUACGUGCCAGCAGCCGCCGCGGUAAAAC
rnacentral:rRNA from 1 species